rnacentral:rRNA from 1 species
GACGAACGCUGGCGGCGUGCUUAACACAUGCAAGUCGAACGGAAAGGCCCUGCUUUUGUGGGGUGCUCGAGUGGCGAACGGGUGAGUAACACGUGAGUAACCUGCCCUUGACUUUGGGAUAACUUCAGGAAACUGGGGCUAAUACCGGAUAGGAGCUCCUGCUGCAUGGUGGGGGUUGGAAAGUUUCGGCGGUUGGGGAUGGACUCGCGGCUUAUCAGCUUGUUGGUGGGGUAGUGGCUUACCAAGGCUUUGACGGGUAGCCGGCCUGAGAGGGUGACCGGAGACGGUGGUACUGAGACACGGCCAGGAGGCGGGGGGGAGGCGGGGGUGGAGGAGCAGCCACAGCGGGAGGAAGCUGGAGGCGGCAACGCGGGGGGGGGGAGGACGGCCUUGGGGCUGUAAUGCGUGGUCUGCGGGGAGGGUGGGGGGGAGGGGGUGGGGGGCAAAGAAGCACAGGCUAACUACGUGCAAGAGGAAGGGGUAAUAAGCGGAGGGGCCAACGUCUGACC